GUCCUGGUAGCUCAGUUGGAUAGAGCGAUUCUUUCCUAAAGAAUAGGCCGACAGUUCGAUCCUGUCCCAGGAUA
rnacentral:tRNA from 1 species